rnacentral:rRNA from 1 species
AACGAACGCUGGCGGCAUGCCUAACACAUGCAAGUCGAACGAGACCUUCGGGUCUAGUGGCGCACGGGUGCGUAACGCGUGGGAACCUGCCCUUAGGUUCGGAAUAACUCCCCGAAAGGGGUGCUAAUACCGGACAAUGUCUUCGGACCAAAGAUUUAUCGCCUUUGGAUGGGCCCGCGUUGGAUUAGCUAGUUGGUAGGGUAAAAGCCUACCAAGGCGACGAUCCAUAGCUGGUCUGAGAGGAUGAUCAGCCACACUGGGACUGAGACACGGCCCAGACUCCUACGGGAGGCAGCAGUGGGGAAUAUUGGACAAUGGGCGAAAGACUGAUCCAGCAAUGCCGCGUGAGUGAUGAAGGCCUUAGGGUUGUAAAGCGCUUUUAACCGGGAUGAUAAUGACAGUACCGGGAGAAUAAGCUCCGGCUAACUACGUG